GUUUGUGCUUUGCUGCUCCUUCAUUUUCUCUCACUUCUUUUUCCUUUUAUCGAUAAUCAUCAGAGAUCUGGGAUGCUCUCGUGCUGUAGCCCAAGCUAUUGUGGAUAGUGCUGGCAUUAUUGUUCAAAAUCCUGACUCGACAAUCUGCUACGAUGAAAAAGGUGCCAAAUAUGAGUUGCCCAAAUAUGUUGUGAGUGAGCCUGCAAAUCUGAUUCGUGACAGUUGAAGAGAUAUUAGAGGCAAUAUAUUGGUAAAUUGGCUUAGUUUGUAGAAAAUUAUGGAGUUAGUGCUUUUGAUUUUAUUGUCAAGAGAUAAUCUAUAUUUUUGGAAAUUGGUGAUUUAUUUAUGGAGGAG